rnacentral:rRNA from 1 species
AGCGAACGCUGGCGGCAGGCCUAACACAUGCAAGUCCAACGCGUGUAGCAAUACACGAGUGGCAGACGGGUGAGUAACACGUGGGAACGUGCCCUUCGGUUCGGAAUAACUCAGGGAAACUUGGGCUAAUACCGGACACGACCUUACGGGGAAAGGUUUAUCGCCGAUGGAUCGGCCCGCGCCUGAUUAGCUAGCUGGUGAGGUAACGGCUCACCAAGGCGACGAUCAGUAGCUGGUCUGAGAGGAUGAUCAGCCACACUGGGACUGAGACACGGCCCAGAAUCCUACGGGAGGCAGCAGUGGGGAAUAUUGGACAAUGGGCGAAAGCCUGAUCCAGCCAUGCCGCGUGAGUGAUGAAGGCCCUAGGGUUGUAAAGCUCUUUCGGCGGGGACGAUAAUGACGGUACCCGCAGAAGAAGCCCCGGCUAACUUCGUGCCAGCCGCCGCCGUAUAC